CCUUAGAACUGCGAGUUAAGAAGGGAAAAGCUCAAAUUUAAAUUCUGCCAGUCUCUGAUUGUCCGGGUUGUAAUUUAGAAAAGUGUUACCCGUGUUGGACCGUGUCAAGUCUCCUGAAAUGGAGCGUCAUAGAGGGUGAGAAUCCCGUCUUUGAUACGGAUCCCAAUACAUUGUGGACACUCUCGAAGAGUCGAGUUGUUUGGGAAUGCAGCUCUAAAUGGGUGGUAAAUUCCAUCUAAAGCUAAAUAUUGGGGAGAGACCGAUAGCGAACAAGUACCGUGAGGGAAAGAUGAAAAGAACUUUGGAAAGAGAGUUAAAACAGUACGUGAAAUUGCUGAAAGGGAAACGCUUGAAGUCAGUCGCGUUGGUCGGGGAUCAGCCUUCCUUAUGGUUGGUGCAUUUCCUGAUCAACGGGUCAACAUCAGUUUUGAUCAAUGGAUAAAAGUUUGAGGGAUGUGGCAUCUUCGGGUGUGUUAUAACCUCUUGCUAUAUACAUUGAUUGGGACUGAGGAACUCAGCACGCCGCAAGGCCGGGUUUUUAACCACGUUCGUGCUUAGGAUGUUGGCAUAAUGGCUUUAAUAGCCCCGUCUUGAAACACGGACCAAGCUUUCUA
rnacentral:rRNA from 1 species